rnacentral:rRNA from 1 species
UACGUAGGGGGCAAGCGUUGUCCGGAAUCAUUGGGCGUAAAGAGCGUGUAGGCGGCCCGGUAAGUCUGUUGUGAAAGUCCAGGGCUCAACCCCGGAAAGCCGAUGGAUACUGCCGGGCUAGAGUUCGGAAGAGGCGAGUGGAAUUCCUGGUGUAGCGGUGGAAUGCGCAGAUAUCAGGAGGAACACCUAUAGCGAAGGCAGCUCGCUGGGACGACACUGACGCUGAGACGCGAAAGCGUGGGGAGCAAACAGG